rnacentral:rRNA from 1 species
UACAGAGGUCUCAAGCGUUGUUCGGAUUCAUUGGGCGUAAAGGGUGCGUAGGCGGCGCGGUAAGUCGGGUGUGAAAUCUCGGAGCUUAACUCCGAAACUGCAUUCGAUACUGCCGUGCUUGAGGACUGGAGAGGAGACUGGAAUUUACGGUGUAGCGGUGAAAUGCGUAGAUAUUGGGAAGAACACCUGAGGCGAAGGCGGGUUGCUGGGCCGACACUGACGCUGAUGCGCGAAAGCCAGGGGAGCGAACGGG